UACGUAGGGUGCGAGCGUUUGUCCGGAAUUAUUGGGCGUAAAGAGCUCGUAGGCGGUUUGUCGCGUCUGCUGUGAAAUCCCGAGGCUCAACCUCGGGUCUGCAGUGGGUACGGGCAGACUGGAGUGCGGUAGGGGAGAAUGGAAUUCCUGGUGUAGCGGUGGAAUGCGCAGAUAUCAGGAGGAACACCGAUGGCGAAGGCAGUUCUCUGGGCCGUAACUGACGCUGAGGAGCGAAAGCGUGGGGAGCGAACAGG
rnacentral:rRNA from 1 species